rnacentral:rRNA from 1 species
UACGUAGGCAGCAAGCGUUGUUCGGAGUUACUGGGCGUAAAGAGUGCGUAGGUGGUGCCCUAAGUCUGUUGUGAAAUCUCCCGGCUUAACUGGGAGGGUGCGGUGGAAACUGGGGUGCUUGAGUGUGGGAGAGGAAAGCGGAAUUCCUGGUGUAGCGGUGAAAUGCGCAGAUAUCAGGAGGAACACCUGCGGUGUAGACGGCUUUCUGGACCACUACUGACACUGAGACACGAAAGCGUGGGGAGCAAACAGG